rnacentral:ncRNA from 1 species
CUCUCUGGAGAUUCUGAUAUAAUACAGAAGCCGAAGGUGCAACAUAUACAUGCGUAUAUGAAUCUCUCAGGCAAAAGGACAGAGAAG